rnacentral:rRNA from 1 species
AAUGAACGCGGGCGGCAGGCCUAACACAUGCAAGUCGAACGGAUCCUUCGGGAUUAGUGGCGGACGGGUGAGUAACGCGUGGGGACAUACCCUUUGGUACGGAAUAGCCUCGGGAAACUGGGAGUAAUACCGUAUGUGGUCGAGAGACGAAAGAUUUAUCGCCAAAGGAUUGGCCCGCGUUGGAUUAGGUAGUUGGUGGGGUAAUGGCCUACCAAGCCGACGAUCCAUAGCUGGUUUGAGAGGAUGAUCAGCCACACUGGGACUGAGACACGGCCCAGACUCCUACGGGAGGCAGCAGUGGGGAAUCUUAGACAAUGGGGGAAACCCUGAUCUAGCCAUGCCGCGUGAUCGAUGAAGGCCUUAGGGUUGUAAAGAUCUUUCAGGUGGGAAGAUAAUGACUGUACCACCAGAAGAAGCCCCGGCUAACUCCGUGCCAGCCGCCGCAGUAA